GAUGAAGAACGUAGUGAAAUGCGAUAAGUAAUGUGAAUUGCAGAAUUCAGUGAAUCAUCGAAUCUUUGAACGCACAUUGCGCCCGCCAGUAUUCUGGCGGGCAUGCCUGUUCGAGCGUCAUUUCAACCAUCAAGCCCCAGGCUUGUGUUGGGGACCUGCGGCUGCCGCAGGCCCUGAAAACCAGUGGCGGGCUCGCUGUCACACCGGGCGUAGUAGAUUUUAUCUCGCUCAGGGCGUGCUGCGGGUUCCGGCCGUUAAAAAGCCUUUUUUACCCAAGGUUGACCUCGGAUCAGGUAGGAAGACCCGCUGACCUUAAGCAUAUCAAUAAGCGGAGGA
rnacentral:misc_RNA from 1 species